AUUGAACGCUGGCGGCAGGCCUAACACAUGCAAGUCGAGCGGAGCGGCGGACGGGUGAGUAAUGCCUAGGAAUCUGCCUGGUAGUGGGGGAUAACGUCCGGAAACGGGCGCUAAUACCGCAUAAUAUCAGCUGAGCCUAGGUCGGAUUAGCUAGUUGGUGGGGUAAAGGCCUACCAAGGCGACGAUCCGUAACUGGUCUGAGAGGAUGAUCAGUCAGCCUGAAAGUGAGAAACGGUCCGGACUCUGACGGGGGGCAGCAGUGGGGAAUAUUGGAGAAUGGGCGAAAGCCUGAUCCAGCCGUGCCGCGGGAGUGAUGAAGGUCGUCGGAUUGUAAAGCACAUUAAGUUGGGAGGCGUUACCAACAGAAUAAGCACCGGCUAACUGCGUGCAAGCAGCCGCGGUAAUUC
rnacentral:rRNA from 1 species